AAAAAUACCCCCUAAGCACAGUAAUGCAUUUUGUUAUGAAGGAAUAGAAAUGCAAAUUUUGAGUGUGAAAAUUUGAUCUAGUAAACAAAAAUCAACCUCUAAGACCCUUUUAACCUAAAAUUGUUUUCAGAGUCUUCAUGUCUUUUCAUAUGUUCAUCCCUUUCUUUUUUUUUUUUUUUUUGAGACAUAGUCUCACUCUGUCACCCAGGCUGGAAUGCAAUGGCACAAUCUCAGCUCACUGCAGCCUCUGCCUCCCAGGAGGAUUGCUUGAGGCCAGGAGUUCGAGACCAGCCUGAGCAACAUAGUGAGGCCCCAUCUCUACAGAAGUUUUUAUAAAUU
rnacentral:sRNA from 1 species